CCUACGGGUGGCAGCAGUGGGGAAUAUUGCACAAUGGGGGAAACCCUGAUGCAGCGACGCCGCGUGAGCGACGAAGUAUUUCGGUAUGUAAAGCUCUAUCAGCAGGGAAGAAAAUGACGGUACCUGAGUAUGAAGCUCCGGCUAAAUACGUGCCAGCAGCCGCGGUAAUAUGUAUGGAGCAAGCGUUAUCCGGAUUUACCGGGUGUAAAGGGAGCGCAGGCGGCCUUGCAAGUCUGAUGUGAAAUACCGGGGCGCAACCCCGGAGCUGCAUUGGAAACUGGGAGGCUGGAGUGUCGGAGAGGCAGGCGGAAUUCCUAGUGUAGCGGUGAAAUGCGUAGAUAUUAGGAGGAACACCAGUGGCGAAAGCGGCCUGCUGGACGAUGACUGACGCUGAGGCUCGAAAGCGUGGGGAGCAAACAGGAUUAGAUACCCGUGUAGUC
rnacentral:rRNA from 1 species